rnacentral:rRNA from 1 species
AUUGAACGCUGGCGGCAGGCCUAACACAUGCAAGUCGAGCGGUAGCACAGGAGAGCUUGCUCUCUGGGUGACGAGCGGCGGACGGGUGAGUAAUGUCUGGGAAACUGCCUGAUGGAGGGGGAUAACUACUGGAAACGGUAGCUAAUACCGCAUAACGUCUACGGACCAAAGUGGGGGACCUUCGGGCCUCACGCCAUCAGAUGUGCCCAGAUGGGAUUAGCUAGUAGGUGGGGUAAUGGCUCACCUAGGCGACGAUCCCUAGCUGGUCUGAGAGGAUGACCAGCCACACUGGAACUGAGACACGGUCCAGACUCCUACGGGAGGCAGCAGUGGGGAAUAUUGCACAAUGGGCGCAAGCCUGAUGCAGCCAUGCCGCGUGUGUGAAGAAGGCCUUAGGGUUGUAAAGCACUUUCAGCGAGGAGGAAGGGUUCAGUGUUAAUAGCACUGUGCAUUGACGUUACUCGCAGAAGAAGCACCGGCUAACUCCGUGCCAGCAGCCGCGGUAAUACGGAGGGUGCAAGCGUUAAUCGGAAUUACUGGGCGUAAAGCGCACGCAGGCGGUUUGUUAAGUCAGAUGUGAAAUCCCCGCGCUUAACGUGGGAACUGCAUUUGAAACUGGCAAGCUAGAGUCUUGUAGAGGGGGGUAGAAUUCCAGGUGUAGCGGUGAAAUGCGUAGAGAUCUGGAGGAAUACCGGUGGCGAAGGCGGCCCCCUGGACAAAGACUGACGCUCAGGUGCGAAAGCGUGGGGAGCAAACAGGAUUAGAUACCCUGGUAGUCCACGCUGUAAACGAUGUCGAUUUGGAGGUUGUGCCCUUGAGGCGUGGCUUCCGGAGCUAACGCGUUAAAUCGACCGCCUGGGGAGUACGGCCGCAAGGUUAAAACUCAAAUGAAUUGACGGGGGCCCGCACAAGCGGUGGAGCAUGUGGUUUAAUUCGAUGCAACGCGAAGAACCUUACCUACUCUUGACAUCCAGAGAACUUUCCAGAGAUGGAUUGGUGCCUUCGGGAACUCUGAGACAGGUGCUGCAUGGCUGUCGUCAGCUCGUGUUGUGAAAUGUUGGGUUAAGUCCCGCAACGAGCGCAACCCUUAUCCUUUGUUGCCAGCGAUUCGGUCGGGAACUCAAAGGAGACUGCCGGUGAUAAACCGGAGGAAGGUGGGGGAUGACGUCAAGUCAUCAUGGCCCUUACGAGUAGGGCUACACACGUGCUACAAUGGCGUAUACAAAGAGAAGCGAACUCGCGAGAGCAAGCGGACCUCAUAAAGUACGUCGUAGUCCGGAUUGGAGUCUGCAACUCGACUCCAUGAAGUCGGAAUCGCUAGUAAUCGUAGAUCAGAAUGCUACGGUGAAUACGUUCCCGGGCCUUGUACACACCGCCCGUCACACCAUGGGGAGUGGGUUGCAAAAGAAGUAGGUAGCUUAACCUUCGGGAGGGCGCUUACCACUUUGUGAUUCAUGACUGGGGUGAA